rnacentral:rRNA from 1 species
CGCCAGACUCCUACGGGAGGCAGCAGUGAGGAAUAUUGGUCAAUGGGCGAGAGCCUGAACCAGCCAAGUCGCGUGAGGGAAGACUGCCCUAUGGGUUGUAAACCUCUUUUGUCAGGGAGCAACGCCGGCUACGUGCAGCCGGACUGAGAGUACCUGAAGAAAAAGCAUCGGCUAACUCCGUGCCAGCAGCCGCGGUAAUACGGAGGAUGCGAGCGUUAUCCGGAUUUAUUGGGUUUAAAGGGUGCGUAGGCGGAAUGCCAAGUAAGGGGUAAAAUCGCGGGGCUCAACCUCGCUCCGCCGCUGAAACUGGCGUUCUUGAGUGGGCGAGAAGUAUGCGGAAUGCGUGGUGUAGCGGUGAAAUGCAUAGAUAUCACGCAGAACUCCGAUUGCGAAGGCAGCAUACCGGCGCCCAACUGACGCUGAAGCACGAAAGCGUGGGUAUCGAACAGGAUUAGAUACCCCGGUAA